UACGUAGGAUGCGAGCGUUGUCCGGAAUCAUUGGGCGUAAAGCGAACGUAGGCGGUCUGUUAAGUCCGCUCUUAAAGACCGGGGCUCAACCUCGGGAAUGGAGUGGAUACUGGCAGGCUGGAGGACGUCAGAGGGAAGUGGAAUUCCUAGUGUAGCGGUGAAAUGCGUAGAUAUUAGGAGGAACACCAGUGGCGAAAGCGACUUCCUGGGGCGUUCCUGACGCUGAGGUUCGAAAGCUCGGGGAGCAAACAGG
rnacentral:rRNA from 1 species